UGGACGGAAGUCUGACGGAGCGACGCCGCGUGGAUGAAGAAGGCUGAAAAGUUGUAAAAUCCUUUGUUGAUGAAGAAUAAGGGUGAGAGGGAAUGCUCAUCUGAUGACGGUAAUCGACGAAUAAGCCCCGGCUAAUUACGUGCAAGCAGCCGCGGUAAU
rnacentral:rRNA from 1 species